UUCUUCUUUUCUCCAUGCGCCGACUACUCCUCUUCUCCUUCUUCUUUUUCAGUUUCAGUUUUAGCCUCAUUUUCAGCUCAUUGUCGCACGGUGAAACCGUGGGUCUUGCUCCUGUUUUUAGCUCUCUUAUUCAUGCUCGAUUUUCUCUCAUUUUCCUCUUGUAUUUUUGGGUCCUAGUUUGUGGCUUGAUCCUUGUUUUUUUUUUUUUUAUUGAUUGGGACCCAUUAGCAUGUUCUUUGAAGUCGGAUUUGCCUAGUUUUGUGCCGAAAAAUAUACUUCAUAUCUUGCUCGGUUUCCCUCUCUUUGCCUCUAUUAUUUUCGUGUUCUUGGUAGUGAGGCAUCCCUUCUAAUUUUCGGUAGUUUUAGACACUUUUGUUCUAUUUUUGGCUAAACCGUGCUCUGGUUUUGAGCAACCCAUGCCCCUAUUUUGGAUCCCAAACCGUGAAGCCUCCAUGCCCAUUUCUCUUGUUAAUUUCUUUGAUAUUUUUGGUUUUAUGCUUAUGAAAUUCCCUUGCUUUUCUGUUUAUUUUGGUUUGUCCGUGUUCUGGUUUGACCUUAAAUCCGUGCCCGUGUUGCCCAUCAAACCAUGAGUUUCAUUUUCAGUUCUUGUAGAUUUUCAAUUCUAGCCGUGAGCUACACUUCCAUUUUAUUUCAAUAAAAUCAGCUCCCUUAAUUUCAAAAAUUUCACUUUAAAUCCCUUUAUUUUCGAAA